rnacentral:rRNA from 1 species
UACGGGGGGGGCAAGCGUUGUUCGGAAUUACUGGGCGUAAAGGGCGUGUAGGCGGCCCUCUAAGUCGGACGUGAAAUCCCUCGGCUCAACCGGGGAACUGCGUCCGGUACUGGAGGGCUUGAAUCCGGGAGAGGGAUGUGGAAUUCCAGGUGUAGCGGUGAAAUGCGUAGAUAUCUGGAGGAACACCGGUGGCGAAGGCGGCAUCCUGGACCGGUAUUGACGCUGAGGCGCGAAAGCUAGGGUAGCAAACGGG